rnacentral:rRNA from 1 species
GGACGGGUGAGUAACGCGUGAGUAACCUGCCUUCAAGAGGGGGAUAACAUUCUGAAAAGAAUGCUAAUACCGCAUGACAUAUCGGAACCACAUGGUUUUGAUAUCAAAGAUUUUAUCGCUUGAAGAUGGACCCGCGUCCGAUUAGUUAGUUGGUGAGGUAACGGCUCACCAAGACCGCGAUCGGUAGCCGGACUGAGAGGUUGAACGGCCACAUUGGGACUGAGACACGGCCCAGACUCCUACGGGAGGCAGCAUG